CUACGAUGUUUACCAUGCCUGUCAUGCCCCAUGAAAUCCUGGCGCUUAUCCGUCGGCAGCCAAAGAAAAUGAUAUCGCGCAAAAAAGAUGGCGACAGCGGGGGCGUGGCAUGGCUUGCCAAAGCAGGUCCCGUGACUUCCGGCAUUUUGAAAAAGUCAGCGAAAAGAUAAGUGUACUGUGGUGUAUGUAAUGUUAAACGAGAUUUUAUAAAGCAAAAAAAUACUGCACGACUUGCAUUACUCGUCUUGGAAAGCUGCGACAGUGUCGCCACCGCAACGUCGCCCUUCUGUUGUGUGCAAAUGGCGGCGCCCUAGGACGAGCCCUACUGCUGCGCGUCGGUCGAGCGCCCCAGCCUGCAGAUGGCGAAAUAGUUGCAGCUGUGAUGCGUCCUUAUACUACCUCUUAAUAGAAGGCACUUUCUAAGACGGACAGAGAGAGAGAGAGAAUAAGCUUUAUUGGAACCAACUUUCUGCAAUGGGAGCGGGCACAGACGACCAGCUGGCGCUGGCCUUCCAGGAUGGAGCUGAGCAGCACAGCCUCUUAUUGGGAUGUGCGAGGCAUAGGAGGUAUUGUGGGGUUCCGUUGGCAUUCCCAUACAGUGUGGUACAGAUUGGCAUAAUUCGCACAGAAUGGGCAUUCUUUGCUGUAUUGUUCAGGGUAUGAGUGGUGAAGUAGGCUUAGGUGUCUCUGAGCACCAGGUGCCAAAUGUUAAAUAUAUGGUCAUUAGUGGCAGUUUCAUUCUGUCCACAUAAGAGACAUCGAUGGUAGUGUAGUGGGGUCUUGUAAAGGGACUUCGUCCAUGUUUAUAACAUGACCAGGGCAGGCAUUAGGAUCGCCAAUUCAUUCUUGAAGUGAAGUUCUCAAGCUUCUACUCACUUGACUGGCAGCAUCUGGCACAUGGUUGUGCAAGCUUGAAUUGCUAAGUCGUGCAUCAUGAAUGUUUAAGACAUGAACCAUGAUGGUCUGCUGACUAAACCCACAGCAUCCAUAUAUUUCACCAAUGUCCCUUUCAACACAGCUGCACUGUUGAGUCCCCUGCCUUCAGCCCAUUGUGCUGGUCAAUUAUCAUUGACCGAUAGUCAAUGAUAAGCUUCCUUUCUGGCCAUUCUGCCUUUUUACCUUGGUCCACGAUCUUUGUGCUCUUGGUGGAACUGAUAUUUUCUCAAGUUAUCUGUGAGUCGCAAAUCAUUCUUUCCUCGACGGUGGAGUGCCAUCCUGGUGCACGGUUAUCAUUCUUGACUACGUGGGCAAUAGCAGACAAUUUAAACUUGGCGGUAUAACCUUUACCGAACCUUUCUUGUCAUUUGUUGUGUUCAGCAGCUGAUAACAGUAACAGCGGUAGUGUGCCAGUGGCUGAGCCAGUGAAGGGUGAAGAAUAUGAAA